GACGAACGCUGGCGGCGUGCUUAACACAUGCAAGUCGAACGGAAAGGCCCCUUUGGGGGUACUCGAGUGGCGCACGGGUGAGUAACACGUGAGUAACCUGCCCUUGACUUCGGGAUAACUUCAGGAAACUGGGGCUAAUACCGGAUAGGAAUCCUUGCUGCAUGGUGGGGGUUGGAAAGCUUCGGCGGUUUUGGAUGGACUCGCGGCUUAUCAGCUUGUUGGUGGGGUAGUGGCUUACCAAGGCUUUGACGGGUAGCCGGCCUGAGAGGGCGACCGGCCACAUUGGGACUGAGAUACGGCCCAGACGCCUACGGGAGGCAGCAGUGGGGAAUAUUGCACAAUGGGCGGAAGCCGGAUGCAGCAACGCCGCGUGCGGGAUGACGGCCUUCGGGUUGUAAACCGCUUUCAGCAGGGGCGAAGCUUGUGGUGACGGUACCUGCAGAAGAAGCACCGGCUAACUACGUG
rnacentral:rRNA from 1 species